UGGGGAAUUUUGGACAAUGGGCGAAAGCCUGAUCCAGCAAUGCCGCGUGUGUGAAGAAGGCCUUCGGGUUGUAAAGCACUUUUGUCCGGAAAGAAAUCCUUGGCUCUAAUACAGUCGGGGGAUGACGGUACCGGAAGAAUAAGCACCGGCUAACUACGUGCCAGCAGCCGCGGUAAUACGUAGGGUGCAAGCGUUAAUCGGAAUUACUGGGCGUAAAGCGUGCGCAGGCGGUUUGCUAAGACCGAUGUGAAAUCCCCGGGCUCAACCUGGGAACUGCAUUGGUGACUGGCAGGCUAGAGUAUGGCAGAGGGGGGUAGAAUUCCACGUGUAGCAGUGAAAUGCGUAGAGAUGUGGAGGAAUACCGAUGGCGAAGGCAGCCCCCUGGGCCAAUACUGACGCUCAUGCACGAAAGCGUGGGGAGCAAACAGGAUUAGAUACCCUGGUAGUCCACGCCCUAAACGAUGUCAACUAGUUGUUGGGGAUUCAUUUCCUUAGUAACGUAGCUAACGCGUAAAGUUGACCGCCUGGGGAGUACGGUCGCAAGAUUAAAACUC
rnacentral:rRNA from 1 species